CGACAACCUAUGAAACCCAUUUUGUGAGUUGUUCAGGAGAAAAGGGUGGAAUUGGUGCGUACAAAACCCAUUUUUAAUUUUUACAAGCCCUGCCAAUGAGGCAAACGUGGUUGGUCCAUUAGAGAAAAGGGUGUGGUUCUUGAGUCCAACAGGAAGGCUAAAAGAUAACCUUAGGUUCAGGUUCGGGCAUGGCUUGUUCAAGCCCAGCCGGAUCUCUUCCUGUAUCCAAACUCUGGGUUUCUAGAUUCUUCUAAGACCCCCAGAAUUCCUCUAGAUGGUUGGCAUAGAUCAGUCAUCAUAGUAAUCACUUGCGAUUGUGCUUAUUUUGCGUUUGGUUUUAUUUACAAGUCUUCUGUUCAAGAAAUGACAAAUUAUCCUGAUAAAUGAGCUAGAUUGUGUGCAAAUACGAUCAGAAACAAGCCCUGCUAUCGAUCCCACCUGUGUUUAACAAGAACUGGAUCGUGUGCAAAUAGAUAAAUAGAAGUCCUGCUAUCAAUCCCACCUGUGUUUAACAGAUUAAAUGUACAAACAGCUUUGAGGCUAUCUUCUUCAUUUCAUUUUCCAUUCAUCUCCCUUGUAUCAUCCGUGGAUGUGUACUUGUUCUGGAAUUCAGGCAUCUAAAGCAGCAUUCCUGUGGAGAAAGCAUAGAUGACAUGCAUUUGGGUCUGUGGUGAAUUAUUCUGAGUAAAUCUUCCUGGAAUACAUCAUUUAGUUGUUUCUUGCUGAGUUUGUGGCCCGUAUUGCUGGGAAAUGCUUUGCUACCUGAUAUUUGCCCUUGCCUAGAUUUUGCUACCUGGCUAAAGCAGCGUGCACUUUUGCAGCUUCACUACGGAGUUGGUAAGGUAUCAACAAGAGUAAUUAAUUUACUAGAAUAUGUAAAAACUACAGUGCUUUUCUAUCUGAACAUCAUUGCUGUAUGAAAUGAGGAACUGACUUGAUGGCAAAAGUUAUUUUGUGUAUGCUUUGAAGGUUCUGGUAAUUUACGACUCUUUAUGGAAGGUCGAGGCAAGAUUUCUCAGUGUUUCUUGGACCAUUCUAGAUGGCAUUUCUUGUGUGACACUGAGGUGCUACUAUAGAUACAGAAUGUUGCACAGAACGAUUUUUUUUGCUGUCCAACAAGAAUAUCCUAGUUGUGCUCUGUCCUAUAAAGUUUUCUUUGACUUGGUGUUGUGUUCUGCGCCUUGUUUUGGUCAAAGGGACUCGUGUUUUGUUGACAGGUUGCUGGGUGUAAAUCCUAGCCUUGAUGGUAAGUUGAAAUGUGCUUUGUCGGGCACAUAUGUUCUUGAUGCUUA